rnacentral:rRNA from 1 species
AGAGUUUGAUCAUGGCUCAGGACGAACGCUGGCGGCGUGCCUAAUACAUGCAAGUAGAACGCUGAAGAGAGGAGCUUGCUCUUCUUGGAUGAGUUGCGAACGGGUGAGUAACGCGUAGGUAACCUGCCUUGUAGCGGGGGAUAACUAUUGGAAACGAUAGCUAAUACCGCAUAACAAUGGAUGACACAUGUCAUUUAUUUGAAAGGGGCAAUUGCUCCACUACAAGAUGGACCUGCGUUGUAUUAGCUAGUAGGUGAGGUAAUGGCUCACCUAGGCGACGAUACAUAGCCGACCUGAGAGGGUGAUCGGCCACACUGGGACUGAGACACGGCCCAGACUCCUACGGGAGGCAGCAGUAGGGAAUCUUCGGCAAUGGGGGCAACCCUGACCGAGCAACGCCGCGUGAGUGAAGAAGGUUUUCGGAUCGUAAAGCUCUGUUGUAAGUCAAGAACGGGUGUGAGAGUGGAAAGUUCACACUGUGACGGUAGCUUACCAGAAAGGGACGGCUAACUACGUGCCAGCAGCCGCGGUAAUACGUAGGUCCCGAGCGUUGUCCGGAUUUAUUGGGCGUAAAGCGAGCGCAGGCGGUUUGAUAAGUCUGAAGUUAAAGGCUGUGGCUCAACCAUAGUUCGCUUUGGAAACUGUCAAACUUGAGUGCAGAAGGGGAGAGUGGAAUUCCAUGUGUAGCGGUGAAAUGCGUAGAUAUAUGGAGGAACACCGGUGGCGAAAGCGGCUCUCUGGUCUGUAACUGACGCUGAGGCUCGAAAGCGUGGGGAGCGAACAGGAUUAGAUACCCUGGUAGUCCACGCCGUAAACGAUGAGUGCUAGGUGUUGGAUCCUUUCCGGGAUUCAAUGCCGCAGCUAACGCAUUAAGCACUCCGCCUGGGGAGUACGACCGCAAGGUUGAAACUCAAAGGAAUUGACGGGGGCCCGCACAAGCGGUGGAGCAUGUGGUUUAAUUCGAAGCAACGCGAAGAACCUUACCAGGUUUUGACAUCCCGAUGCUAUUUCUAGAGAUAGAAAGUUACUUCGGUACAUCGGUGACAGGUGGUGCAUGGUUGUCGUCAGCUCGUGUCGUGAGAUGUUGGGUUAAGUCCCGCAACUAGCGCAACCCCUAUUGUUAGUUGCCAUCAUUCAGUUGGGCACUCUAGCGAGACUGCCGGUAAUAAACCGGAGGAAGGUGGGGAUGACGUCAAAUCAUCAUGCCCCUUAUGACCUGGGCUACACACGUGCUACAAUGGUUGGUACAACGAGUUGCGAGUCGGUGACGGCGAGCUAAUCUCUUAAAGCCAAUCUCAGUUCGGAUUGUAGGCUGCAACUCGCCUACAUGAAGUCGGAAUCGCUAGUAAUCGCGGAUCAGCACGCCGCGGUGAAUACGUUCCCGGGCCUUGUACACACCGCCCGUCACACCACGAGAGUUUGUAACACCCGAAGUCGGUGAGGUAACCUUUUGGAGCCAGCCGCCUAAGGUGGGACAGAUGAUUGGGGUGAAGUCGUAACAAGGUA